UAGUUUUGUGAAUGUAUGAUUGUUUGG
rnacentral:sRNA from 1 species